rnacentral:rRNA from 1 species
CAUGAACGCUAGCGACAGGCCUAACACAUGCAAGUCGAGGGGCAUCAAGUUAACAGCUUGCUGAUUAUGUUGGCGACCGGCGCACGGGUGAGUAACGCGUAUGCAACCUACCUAAUACAGGGGAAUAGCCCGGAGAAAUUCGGAUUAAUACCGCAUAACACAGGGGUUCCGCAUGGAACUAUUUGUUAAAGAUUUAUCGGUAGAAGAUGGGCAUGCGUUCCAUUAGGCAGUUGGUGAGGUAACGGCUCACCAAAGCAACGAUGGAUAGGGGAACUGAGAGGUUUAUCCCCCACACUGGAACUGGGACACGGACCAGACUCCUACGGGAGGCAGCAGUGAGGAAUAUUGGUCAAUGGGCGAGAGCCUGAACCAGCCAAGUCGCGUGAAGGAAGACUGCCUUAUGGGUUGUAAACUUCUCUUAUAUGAGAAUAAAAAGAGAUACGUGUAUCUUAUUGCAAGUAUCAUAUGAAUAAGCAUCGGCUAACUCCGUGCCAGCCGCCGCAGUAAAAC